rnacentral:rRNA from 1 species
GAGGCGAACCGGGGGAACUGAAACAUCUAAGUACCCCGAGGAAAAGAAAUCAACCGAGAUUCCCCCAGUAGCGGCGAGCGAACGGGGAGCAGCCCAGAGCCUGAAUCAGUGUGUGUGUUAGUGGAAGCGUCUGGAAAGGCGCGCGAUACAGGGUGACAGCCCCGUACACAAAAAUGCACAUGCUGUGAGCUCGAUGAGUAGGGCGGGACACGUGGUAUCCUGUCUGAAUAUGGGGGGACCAUCCUCCAAGGCUAAAUACUCCUGACUGACCGAUAGUGAACCAGUACCGUGAGGGAAAGGCGAAAAGAACCCCGGCGAGGGGAGUGAAAAAGAACCUGAAACCGUGUACGUACAAGCAGUGGGAGCACAGAGCAAUCUGUGUGACUGCGUACCUUUUGUAUAAUGGGUCAGCGACUUAUAUUCUGUAGCAAGGUUAACCGAAUAGGGGAGCCGAAGGGAAACCGAGUCUUAACUGGGCGUUAAGUUGCAGGGUAUAGACCCGAAACCCGGUGAUCUAGCCAUGGGCAGGUUGAAGGUUGGGUAACACUAACUGGAGGACCGAACCGACUAAUGUUGAAAAAUUAGCGGAUGACUUGUGGCUGGGGGUGAAAGGCCAAUCAAACCGGGAGAUAGCUGGUUCUCCCCGAAAGCUAUUUAGGUAGCGCCUCGUGAAUUCAUCUCCGGGGGUAGAGCACUGUUUCGGCAAGGGGGUCAUCCCGACUUACCAACCCGAUGCAAACUGCGAAUACCGGAGAAUGUUAUCACGGGAGACACACGGCGGGUGCUAACGUCCGUCGUGAAGAGGGAAACAACCCAGACCGCCAGCUAAGGUCCCAAAGUCAUGGUUAAGUGGGAAACGAUGUGGGAAGGCCCAGACAGCCAGGAUGUUGGCUUAGAAGCAGCCAUCAUUUAAAGAAAGCGUAAUAGCUCACUGGUCGAGUCGGCCUGCGCGGAAGAUGUAACGGGGCUAAACCAUGCACCGAAGCUGCGGCAGCGACGCUGAUGCGUUGUUGGGUAGGGGAGCGUUCU